GCUGGCGGCAGGCCUAACACAUGCAAGUCGAACGGUAACAGGAAGCAGCUUGCUGCUUCGCUGACGAGUGGCGGACGGGUGAGUAAUGUCUGGGAAACUGCCUGAUGGAGGGGGAUAACUACUGGAAACGGUGGCUAAUACCGCAUAACGUCGCAAGACCAAAGAGGGGGACCUUCGGGCCUCUUGCCAUCAGAUGUGCCCAGAUGGGAUUAGCUUGUUGGUGAGGUAACGGCUCACCAAGGCGACGAUCCCUAGCUGGUCUGAGAGGAUGACCAGCCACACUGGAACUGAGACACGGUCCAGACUCCUACGGGAGGCAGCAGUGGGGAAUAUUGCACAAUGGGCGCAAGCCUGAUGCAGCCAUGCCGCGUGUAUGAAGAAGGCCUUCGGGUUGUAAAGUACUUUCAGCGGGGAGGAAGGUGUUGUGGUUAAUAACCGCAGCAAUUGACGUUACCCGCAGAAGAAGCACCGGCUAACUCCGUGCCAGCCGCCGCGGUAAU
rnacentral:rRNA from 1 species